GUGAGCGUGAGCGCAUCUCUCCCGAAGCUGCGGGCGGAGCCGUUACUUCCGAGGGAGGACGGCGCGAGCGUGGGCGACUCCGGAUCCUCCGCGCCUCCCGAGUCCCAGCCCCGGGGCGGCCGCUGCGAGCCGGGUCAGAUACGGGGCCUGCUUGAUGACAGAGAUCUUUUAAAAAGAAAUGCCAAGAGGGCUGGAUAGAUGACUUAGCCAUUAAGGCACUUGCCUGCAAAGCCUAAGGACCCAGGUUCAAUUCUCCAGGACGCACAAAUGCCAGUAAUUGAGCUGUUGGACCACUAGAACUGGAGUUGCUGUUUCUACUAGUGUGUUCUACAUCAGGACGUAGAAAAACUACAUUUUAGUUGCUG